GUCAUGGAGAGCAAACCAGUAAGCAGCACCCCUACACGGUCUCUGCAUCAGCUCCUGCCUCCAAGUUCCUGCCCUGUUUGAAUUCCUGUCCUGACUUCCUUUGGUGAUGAACAGCAAUGUGGAAGUCUAGAUACGCAUCUUCCCCUCGGUCACCGGGUAUUUGUAGACUAUGCUGCAUCAGUGUUGUGGCAGAGAGGAAUUGUUAGGAAUGACAGUUCACAACCACUGCCGACACCUGCUGGGACACAGACAGUGUAGGCUGCCGUCACCCUGUCCAGAGACCCUGGAAGUAAAUAUAUUGGAGUGAAAACUCAAGACACAACAGAAGUAAUCACCAUAAACUGCUGAAUACCUGGAUCACAAGAACCAUCCUUAUCUCUUCCGCAUUGUGUAGGUUUGUGAUGUCUAAGUUCCUGGCUUCUUUUGAAAACUUAUUAUCAUC
rnacentral:lncRNA from 1 species